GGCGAACCGUGCGAACGUUGUUCGGAAUCACUGGGCUUAAAGGGCGCGUAGGCGGGCUGCCAAGUCAGGGGUGAAAGCCCACGGCUCAACCGUGGAAGUGCCUUUGAUACUGGCGGUCUCGAGGGAAGUAGGGGCGUGCGGAACUUCCGGUGGAGCGGUGAAAUGCGUAGAUAUCGGAAGGAACACCGGUGGCGAAAGCGGCGCGCUGGACUUCUACUGACGCUGAGGCGCGAAAGCCAGGGGAGCAAACGGG
rnacentral:rRNA from 1 species